rnacentral:rRNA from 1 species
UGAGAGGAUGAUCAGUCACACUGGAACUGAGACACGGUCCAGACUCCUACGGGAGGCAGCAGUGGGGAAUAUUACACAAUGGAGGAAACUCUGAUGUAGCAACGCCGCGUGGAGGAUGACACAUUUCGGUGCGUAAACUCCUUUUAUAUGGGAAGAUAAUGACGGUACCAUAUGAAUAAGCACCGGCUAACUCCGUGCCAGCAGCCGCGGUAAUACGGAGGGUGCAAGCGUUACUCGGAAUCACUGGGCGUAAAGCGCAUGUAGGCGGUCUUGUAAGUUGGGUGUGAAAGCCUAUGGCUCAACCAUAGAACUGCACCCAAAACUACUAGACUAGAGUCUGGGAGAGGAAAAUGGAAUUAGUUGUGUAGGGGUAAAAUCCGUAGAGAUAACUAGGAAUACCAAAAGCGAAGGCAAUUUUCUGGAACAGUACUGACGCUCAGAUGCGAAAGCGUGGGUAGCAAACAGGAUUAGAUACCCUGGUAGUCCACGCCCUAAACGAUGAAUGUUAGUCGUCGGGAGGCUCGUCCUUUCGGUGAUGCAGCUAACGCAUUAAACAUUCCGCCUGGGGAGUACGGUCGCAAGAUUAAAACUCAAAGGAAUAGACGGGGACCCGCACAAGUGGUGGAGCAUGUGGUUUAAUUCGAAGAUACGCGAAGAACCUUACCUAGCCUUGACAUUGAUAGAAUCCGAUGGAAACAUUGGAGUGCCAGUUUACUGGAGCUUGAAAACAGGUGCUGCACGGCUGUCGUCAGCUCGUGUCGUGAGAUGUUGGGUUAAGUCCCGCAACGAGCGCAACCCUCGUCCUUAGUUACUAACGGUUCGGCCGAGGACUCUAAGGAGACUGCCUUCGUAAGGAGGAGGAAGGUGAGGACGACGUCAAGUCAUCAUGGCCCUUACGGCCAGGGCUACACACGUGCUACAAUGGGGCGUACAGAGAGCUGCAAUACCGCGAGGUGGAGCCAAUCUCUUAAAGCGUCUCUCAGUUCGGAUUGUUCUCUGCAACUCGAGAACAUGAAGCUGGAAUCACUAGUAAUCGCAGAUCAGCUAUGCUGCGGUGAAUACGUUCCCGGGUCUUGUACUCACCGCCCGUCACACCAUGGGAGUUGAUUUCACCCGAAAUCGGGAUGCCAAACUGGCUACCGCUUACGGUGGAAUUAGCGACUGGGGUGAAGUGGUAACAAGGUAACC